GCUAACAUGGCAUAGUGUUUUGAGUGUUGGACUGUGACUCUGAAGACCAGGGUUCGAGUCCCCACUUGGCC